UGUUCUCAGAUCUGUUGUCCUGGCGUCUUGUAGGAAGCUGAGAAAUCUGGCUGUGCCUCCAAGAUACAGUUUUCCUACAUACAGUUGGUUUGUGUACCAAGGGCCUGAGGCCAUUGCACAAACUUCAGAGGAACAAAUACGUGGCUGGUUGGUCACUGGUUCCUCCCUUUCCUUUGAACCCCACCUCUAAAACAAACUUCCUCUCAUCUUCCUAGUGUCCCGCUUUCUACUCCAGUGAUUUCUCGUUACACCUGUCUUUGUGUGUUGCUGCUAGAAGCUUCAGAGGAACAAGGACUCCAAAAACACACGAGGUAACCUCAGCUCACAACUCUUCAAGCCACUCUCCUCUCUCCUGCUGAACUAGAUCUCCACAAACACUAGAGACUCACCGACUGGAGUGAAUUCCCUCAGUGAAAUCACUCUCCUGUGCCAAGAAUCAAAGGUCACCCCAGCGGAGUGCCGUCUUCAUGUUCGGCCGCUACGGAGUGUCUGGAACAGAAUUAAUGCCCGUGCCACACUGACUGGCAGCGUUAUCCGUUUCUCACGUGAAGUGAGGAGCAGGGAGGAGUCAUGUGAAUGAAUUUACAAGUGUAUUGAACAGAACGAGUAUCCUCUGGAACAUUUUUAUGCUACUGAAAAGCUGUGGGGCUUUGUGCCAUCAAGACA